CGGCUCCAGAUCCAGGUUAGACUUCGUUCCUAACGUCAAGGCUCCCAGGCUCCACUUCCGGUUCCGAGGGGGCCGUCCCGUCACCCCCGGAAGUUCCUCCUCCACGCUUUAGGGCCGGGCCACUUCUUCUGCCACGUCUGCAUUUCGGGGACCCGGAUGCCGCGCAUGCGCCUCUUUCAUCUUCCCAUCAUGGCCGCCGCCUGUGCGCCUCUGCUGAGUCACCCUGCACUCAUUGGAUCAGCUGACUACCUAGACCAGUAACCUGGCUCAAUCAGUUCUGCCAUUCCACCCAGGAACAGAAAACAGCAAGAAAACCUCACUUUGACUCCCUGUGAUUCCGUCUUCAACCUGACCAAUCAGCACUCCCCGCUUCCCAAGCUCCUACUCGCCAAAUUAUCUUUAAGAACUCUGAUCCUCAAAUGCUCAGGGAGACUAAUUUGUGUAAUAAUAAAACUCUGGUCUCCCACACAGCUGGCUCUGCGUGAAUUACUCUUUCUCCAUUGCAAUUCCCUGGUCUUGAUAAAUCAGCUUUGUCAAGGCAGCAGGCAGGGUGAACCCACUGAGCGCUGACAUUGUGUGCCAAGCCAUGUUCUUGGGUCUGGAAAUAGAGCAGUGAACAAAAGUGUUUGUUCUCAUAUUAUUGACAGUAAAUAUCA
rnacentral:lncRNA from 1 species